rnacentral:misc_RNA from 1 species
CUCAUCGAGUAGAGUCCUACGGGCUGCUUUCAUGAUAACCAUAUGUAGCUGGGAACAUACUUCUUGAGAAAUUUCGGAUACAAAAUCUUGUAAAGAUGCAGUCUCAUGCCCAUCGGGAUUAGACAAAAAGAGAGCUCCAGGGGUAGCCGUAGUCCAACUACUAAUCAAAGAUUUCAAACUAAAUGGUCUAUACUUACCAGCAACAUGAUGUACCAUCACUGAAUCCACAAUGUAUCCAUAAUGACACCAUGAAUAAAGCUCCAUAAGAGAG